rnacentral:rRNA from 1 species
GAUGAACGCUGGCGGCGUGCUUAACACAUGCAAGUCGAACGAUGAAGCCCAGCUUGCUGGGUGGAUUAGUGGCGAACGGGUGAGUAACACGUGAGUAACCUGCCCUUAACUCUGGGAUAAGCCUGGGAAACUGGGUCUAAUACCGGGUAGGAGCGUCCACCGCAUGGGGGGUGUUGGAAAGAUUUAUCGGUUUUGGAUGGACUCGCGGCCUAUCAGCUUGUUGGUGAGGUAAUGGCUCACCAAGGCGACGACGGGUAGCCGGCCUGAGAGGGUGACCGGCCACACUGGGACUGAGACACGGCCCAGACUCCUACGGGAGGCAGCAGUGGGGAAUAUUGCACAAUGGGCGCAAGCCUGAUGCAGCGACGCCGCGUGAGGGAUGACGGCCUUCGGGUUGUAAACCUCUUUCAGUAGGGAAGAAGCGAAAGUGACGGUACCUGCAGAAGAAGCACCGGCUAACUACGUG